GCCUCCGUUAUCUCUUUCGGAAUGGACUGGGAGAAGUGCCUUCCAUUUGCCGAAUUCGCUUACAACAACAGCUAUCAAUCUAGCUUGGGUAAAGCCCCUUUUGAAGUUCUCUAUGGACGACGAUGUCGAACACCCCUUAACUGGUCAGAGACCGGGGAAAGACAAUUCUUUGGCCCGGAUAUGAUUCAGGAAGCAGAAGAACAAGUUCGUAUCGUUCGUGAAAAAUUGAAAACAGCCCAAUCCCGUCAAAAGAGUCAAUAUGACCGAAAACAUAAGGCUAUGACUUUCGAGGUUGACGAGAAGGCUUAUCUUCGGGUCACCCCUCUGAAGGGAACCCAUCGUUUCGGUAUCAAAGGCAAAUUGGCUCCUCGUUACAUUGGACCUUUUCGCAUUCUUGCCAAACGAGGAGAAGUUGCCUACCAGUUGGAACUACCUCCGCACCUCUCCAGAGUUCACGAUGUCUUCCACGUUUCUCAACUCAGGCGUUGCUUCUCGGAUCCUAUCCGUGAAGUGGAC
rnacentral:rRNA from 1 species